rnacentral:lncRNA from 1 species
AAAAGAAAUAGAAAACAAAAACAAAAACGAAAACAAAAAACAAUUAUCUAUAGUCUGUGUAACUGAAAACAGACCACACCAUAAAGAAACAACCGGUACAACAAACCCCCAUGAUGCAUGUUUACCUAGGUAACAAGCCUGCACAUUUACCCUUGAACAAUAAAGUUAAAAAAAAAGGAAAAAAAGAGAAGAUUUUUUUAAAAUCUAAAUAAAUUACCAAAGCAGAUAUUGCAUAUACUAAAUAUAAUCUUUGACAAAGAUACACUAAAAUUUGAAAUUAACUUAAUGGUUUUCAAACAGGAAAAACGUAAAGAAAAAAAACAAACCCCAAACAGCCAUUAACUCGAGAUUUAAAUUAUUAUCCUAGUUAUUGGGUCAAAUAAAAAUUAAAAGUAUAGUCACAUGUAUUCAUAAAUUACUGAGCAGAAGGAUGCUGCACAUCAAAAUUAUAUCACAUCACUAAAGCUAUAUGCAAAGGCAAAUGUGUAACAUUAAAUGUUUUCAUUAUUAAAUAAGAAUGAAAAAUCAAUGCACUAAGCAGACCACUCAUAAUUUAUAAAUCAAUUAAUCAGAAGGAAAAAUACAGUAUUAAAUAAGAGCAGAAUUUAAUGAAUUUGGAAAUAUUAAACAAUAUCUUCGUAUUUUUCCUGUUUGUUGGUAUAACCAAUAAAACAAUGUAUUUCAUUACUAAAUCAAGGGGCAUAAUUAUUGAUAUAAUGAAAAUUAAUUUAAAGAAUCCUUGGAAAUCUAAUGAAGAAAAGGAAAUCACAAACACAAAAUCAGAAAGGAUAAAAAUGAAAAUGACCACUAAUAUUUCUUUAGUAUGUAAUAUGUGUCAGGCACUCUUAUAAGAACAUUACCUAUAUUAUUACAUUUAAUGCUCACUUUUAAACCUUGUGAUAUAUGCACUAUUUUUUUCUCGCUCUUUCAGACAUAUGAAGUACUGAAAUACAAAGGGAUUAGGACUGCAAACAAGUUUAUAAGUGAUGAUUGGGCUUUGUGGUGUGCAUGGCUGGAUGGUGAUUGAAUGAAGACAAAAAAAAACAGUAAGAUUCCAAGAUUGCAGUGAAUUCGUCUGACCCAGAUACGACAGAAGAUCCUCUCUGGUGAAUAUGUGCAACCGUUCUGAACCUCUCUUUUGAAAACUUUACUCUUCUUCUGAUUUGAUUCCAUAAUUGGAAAUUAAAUGGAAACUCAUGCCUUCCUAAAAGUGUUGUA